GGAGGUGGAGGGAGUGGAGAGAAUGGGCUGUCAGGCAUGACUUGUCCUCUCAAAGUAAUAGGGAGAAAUAACCAGGUGCAUCAGAGAGAGGGUCAAGAUUUUGGUAGCACCAAUCAAUCCUUUAGGGCCCCCUGGCUUGAGCUCCACUUGGAAAGUGACUCUCAGCAAAGCAUGUCAUAGCUAGGCUGGGCGUCAGGAAAGUUGUUGUCACCGCCCUUGCUUUACGGCCUCACAUUCCCUGAUGCAGUCAGAAAGUUGGAACAGAAGGGGCACCCGCCCUGAGAUACCCACCCACAGCACAGGCAGCAAUUUCUGGCAUGCUACAGCAAGAAGUUCCAGAGAUCUACUAACACCUGAAUUGCGAUUUCAACUCUAGGCAUCAUGAAAGUGGUAUUUUUUCCCAUUGUGUUCCAGAUUUGAACUUGUUCCUGCUGAUCUGAAAGACCGAAGUUAAGUCAUCUGUACUCCUUAAUGAGGUUGGCAGCCCCCGGAUCAGUAGAAUACUCCAGGUUCUCACACACCAACACAGGAGUGAUACUAUGUUUAAAACAUUUCCUUCAUACAAGUCAUCCUUGAAAUUACCUGGAGCAUCCUGGUAAUGGUGAUCCUGGUGACCUGGCUCUGGGCAGCGCGAUCUAGUAGUUGGCAAUCCUGCCCAUGGCAGGGGGGGUUGAAACUAGGUGAUCUUUGAGGUCCUUUUCAACCCAGGCCAUUCUAUGAUUUUAUGAUUCUAUGAUCCCGUGAAAUACCUCUUGAGCUACAGAACAUCAUAUCAUCAUUGGUGUUCAUCUGGGUUUAUGAAUGCCAUUCUUUGGCUUCUUUCAGACUCUCCAAGUUCCUGUCUCUGGAUGCUCUUGCUUAUCCUCACUUUCCUGCUGAAUAUUCAGCCUCUUCUUUCUGGGGAUGUUUGGGCAGAUAUGUCUCCAGCUAGGACUCACAGCUUGCUCACUAAAGAGCCUUCCUUUCUUGCCCUCUUCCUCAUGUCUGUGAGCCAGCAUUUUUUAGUGUGAAAGAUAAACAAUAAUCUUGUACUUUCACAUUUUGGCAUGGGUCCUUGGGAUUGGUGGUUGCAUGAUACUUGCUUAUAUUACAGGAAUGUUUAAUGCCUGUUUCAGUAUAUUUAUCAUAUACAUUGCAAAGAUUUAAAGUGUAAAAAAAAUAAGAAGAGAGUUUUCCAGCUAAACUACAAACCUCUCUUCUUGCAGAUGGCUAAAAUUGACUGAGUUAUAUUAGGAAUAACCUGAAUUAUUCACAAGUCUAAUUUUAUGAUUCCUAUUAAUUUUGACACAGAAUAAAAAUGGAAAUAUUUUCUCAGCUUUGAAUGAUUUUCCAUAACUACACGUACUGCCUCUUUGGUGUCUAUUAAUAGCUUGAAGGACAUCAUUUUAAUGAGAAUGCUAACAGUACCUUUCAGUUAGAAAUGUCAUUUAAGCAAUCUCUUAAGAGCAAUUAAAAUCAUUAGUCUGGGACCUAACCUGUGGCUGGAACUUAAAUCUUUUCCUGUCAAAAACAGUUGAGGAUGUGAUCACUACACUUUCUCCUGAAAACCUGUACGCAUGCAAGGAAGGAAAAUUCCAUUUUCUUAGAGUGUAGGAAGUCUGUUUCAGUAUUCUGGCUGCUUCCAUACUAAGCAACCACUCCUGAAGCAAACUUCUGGGGAACUGAAGAUGUUUUGCUGUUCAUGCUUCCCGUCUCCUUUCUAUUUCAGAGAAUUUCUCAACAAAUUCAAUUUUUUUUUGUUUUGUAUUAACAAUACUGCUUUUUUGUUUGUUUGUUUUUUAAAUCAGAGCCUUCUUAAUGACAUCUGAACUCACUACAGCUAAUUAUAUUUUAGUGAAGGUGAGGAAAUGAUGAAAAUCUUCUGGCUUUAUCUUGAGAUUAUUGUCCUGAUCGUUAAGAGCUGCAGUCUAUUUUAAGUCUGGUGAAAGUGCCUGUAUUUUGUAUUAGAAGAGACAGUGAAUAGUCAACUCCUAUUCAUCUUCUGUGGCACAGAACCACUUUCCUAACACAUUUAGUAUUUCAAGCAAAUGAUAGUGAAUUUUUCCUUUUACUUGGGUGAUGUAAUCUUCCCUGGUUUUACUACUUUUUUCCCAGCUUCUCAUCAUCAGCUGUGAAGUACACGUGAAACAGAACACACAGAACCAAACAAGAGAAGCCAAUACAAUGGAGUUGUUAUCAACAAUUAAAACCAUACUAACAAAUAAAUAAAUAUUUUCUCCAGAGUGAAAUACUCCAUGUGUGAAGAAGGGCAGAAAUCACCAGGGAAGGAUUUCCUUUAUGCACCUUUGUUCCAGUCUGUGCACAGCAGACUUUGUACUGGGUGACAAGAAGGGUGACUACUGGGUAGAUAGUCAUAUACUCUGAAAUCUCAGUCGUCUGUGAUCAGUACAACAUGCAACCUAGUGAUAGUAUCAAAACUGGGCUCCAUAUAAUGCUGGAAAUGGGCAUACCAGAAGCAUGUUUAUUCUUACAUCCCGAAGUUACAAAACACAGGCUCAAUAUGUUCUUCAAAUUCUUAUCUAUUAAUGUGCUUUCAGCUGUGAAAGACAGGUCACAGGUAUAGUUGAGUUGUUUUUCUUAGGGUUUUCUGAACAAAGAUAUGCAAGAGGUGCAGAAAAGCAGAACAUAUGGGAAUUGAGAUCUCUGUAGCCAGAGUAUGCCAAAAGGGACACCUAGACUGACAAUGAGAAGGAAGUGCUGUGGCUGAAUAUGGUUAUAGAAGUGCAAUAUUAGAAAAAGAACAGCAAGAACUUGAAGCAACAGUGUGAAACCCCUUAGAACUACACGGAAGGCUCAAACCCUGCAGGUGACCCAUAAAGUGGAUUAUACAGUCUUCUUCAGCUCAAUGAGCUGUCUUAAAAAAUAUUAUACCACUAACUUUCUAAAGGUGACCAGUAACUUUCUAAAGUGAUUUGAGUUCCUCAGGGCUGUUCAAACCUAGUUCAGAAAUGCAUAAGCAGAAAAAUAACAGAAGAAAAUCAUCAGUGCAUGCUUGUUUUGCUAUGCUAUCUUAUAUGCUGUUUGUUUAGCUCAGUAUCCAUCAGCUGCUGCCAAAAAAAGGCAACUCUAGUGAAGAGCAAGAGCAGAACAAAUAUGAUACUUCCCUCAAACUUCCACUUGCAGCCACUGUUGGAGACAGGAAUGAGGACUUGUGGCCCCUUCUGAUACAUGGGCACACCUCACAUUCUUAAAAGAAAGCUGAAGUGAGGUAGUACAAUUAUGGCUAAACAAUACUAAUGGAAUAAUCGAACUGUCAACAUGGAAAAUCAAGAUGAUUAAAAAAUUGCCAGUUGUAUAGACUCACCAUGGUCCACGGUGGUUGCCCCAUCCAUAGGGGCACCCCAGGCCAGGUUGGACAGCCCCUGAGCAGCCUAAUCUGGUGGGUGGCUGCCCUGUUCACAGCAGGGGUUGGAACUAGGUGAUCUUUAAGGUCCCUUCCAAUCUACAUCAUUCAAAGAUAAGAUUAGAUAAUAAUAGUAUUUUGAAGGAAUCUGCAGAUGUCAUACCCAAAACACAGCACUCAUCAGGAAGAAUGACAGUAACUGCAUCUCAGGAGUCUCUGCUAGCAUGAGCAUAAUGAGGUAGAAAGAUAAUUGACAGUGCCAGCAUCAGAGAACAGUUUGACAGGGAGCAAGUAAGCUGCAUAGGAUGAUAUGUUCCCAAGUCUGGAAACAAAUGGUGGGAGAAGAGAUCCUUAUGUGGGGGAUAGCAGCAAAUAGUACUUUGGAGUAAUGUCUGGUCACAUGGAAUAGAAAGGCUAGAGAACAUUGGAACUCCAGCCCUGGCCACUGAUUUGGGAUAUCUGGUCUGGAAAAUUAUUUGAGAGAACAGAUUGAUGAACUAUUGCAUCCAUUCCUCCCCUGCAGACCCAUGUUGUCUCCAAGGAGAAAUGUGAAGCUCUCUGCUUCCCAUCUUCAGAACUGAGAUUUGAGAGGGGAAAUUUUCUUAAAUGUACUGUCUAUUGCCACCCUGGUAAGUGCUAUUAAGGAUCGUGGCUUGGGACAAAGGAGGCAUUCAGAGGCUCUUCUUCCUCUAACCUGAACAUUCUGAAUAAAAUAAAGACAUGCCCAUAAUGGUCUAGUAAUUUCUGUAUCCUUUUUGUGCAGGUUACUUCAGCAGCUUUCUGAAAUGAGCUGAAAGAUGCUUAGGAGCUUGUGAGUAGAUUUCAGGGAUUCUUCGAGGAGCAAUUUAGACCAAUUUUUUUCCAUCUUUUCUGAAGCCACGAGAUAGAAUUCUGUCCCCAGUCAUUAAGCAAAUUAUUCUGUUAAAAUCUCUGAUUUACAGAAAUAGAUUUUAUUUAAAAUGCUCUUGGCAAAAAGAGGAGGGUUGAUUAAAUCCCAAACAUAAAUUAAAUUCACUUGUUUCAUUUUAUUUUUUUAUUUUUACUUUUUGCUAUAAAUAACAAAUGGCUUUAGGUCAUUUAAAUAACAGAUGGAUUAUUUAAAUAGCAGAUUACAUCUUAGCAUUCAAAUAGUGUUUGACUUCAGUCAUCUACUGAGUGUGCAAGCUGCUAAUGUUCUCUUGUACAUAGAGAUUUAUUGUUUUGAAUGACAAAAUAAAGUUGUUGGAAAGACUAA